rnacentral:rRNA from 1 species
UGGGGAAUCUUCCACAAUGGGCGAAAGCCUGAUGGAGCACGCCGCGGUGAGUGAUGAAGGCCUUCGGGUUGUAAAGCUCUGUUAUUCGGGACGAAAGAGCGCAUGGCUAAUAUCCAUGCGAAGUGACGGUACCGAAAGAGAAAGCCACGGCUAACUACGUGCCAGCAGCCGCGGUAAUACGUAGGUGGCAAGCGUUGUCCGGAAUUAUUGGGCGUAAAGCGCGCGCAGGCGGCCUUUUAAGUCCAUCUUAAAAGCGUGGGGCUCAACCCCAUGAGGGGAUGGAAACUGGGAGGCUGGAGUAUCGGAGAGGAAAGCGGAAUUCCUAGUGUAGCGGUGAAAUGCGUAGAGAUUAGGAAGAACACCAGUGGCGAAGGCGGCUUUCUGGACGACAACUGACGCUGAGGCGCGAAAGCGUGGGGAGCAAACAGGAUUAGAUACCCUGGUAGUCCACGCCGUAAACGAUGGAUACUAGGUGUAGGAGGUAUCGACCCCUUCUGUGCCGGAGCUAACACAAUAAGUAUCCCGCCU